rnacentral:lncRNA from 1 species
GGAACAAAACACAAAAGAAUCAAACCACAGUUGAUGAAGAUGAAGAUGAAGAUGAAGAUGAAGGUGAUGAUACAGUGAAGUAUGAAAAUGCUGGAGUCUCUUCUGCUUCGGUCUGAAUCCACUGAUCAGCAGCUUCAUCAACUCAACAGAAACGAGUCACUGCUGAUGUUAAAGCUCCAUCUUUUGCUGAUGUGACAGAUUAGAUCAGAGAAGAGCAGCACAGAGGAGGAUGAUGAUGAUGAUGAUGAUGAUGAUGAUGAUGAUGAUGAUGAUGAUGAUGAUGAUGAUGAUGAUGAUGAUGAUGAUGAUCUCUGUAUUUGAUCCUGUUCUGUACUGAUCCUGUGUCUGUGUUUAACAUUUAACAUCUGUGUUUUCACCUCUAAUGGUUUUUGUUUUGUCUUUAUUAAUAAAGGCUUAAACCACCAACACUGUGCAACAGGUGCUUGUUUGGUUCAGAAAAUGAAGAAGUUCAAAGUGAAAGGUGUCAGAAAACGUGUGUUUGUCACGCUGGCGUUUUAGAUUCAAACCCUUUUCAAACAGCUGCUGUGUCGUUUUAUUUACCUGCUCAAACAACGUAGAUGGUUCUGAAGUGAGUUUCAGUCAUUACAAAAUGAAAAUCAGUGUGAAACAAUGAGAAGAAGCAGGAAAUCAAAGUGAGAAGUUGCGUUUCCACACACAGGAAGCUGAAUCUGGUGCCUGAGAAGCAGCGGUUCAGAAGGAGAGACAUCGAUGGAUCAGACGUUUCUGUUAAUGAUCCUGAUGCUUCGGUUCACAGCCUCUGGACGACUUUCCUCCUUCACUGUCGCAGUCAGAGACGACGUGACUUUGUCUUGUGAAAACGCCAGCGCUGAUCAGGACCAAUGUCAGAACACGACGUGGCUCCUCCAGGAUCCAGGAAGCAGCAGGACAGACGCUGUGGUGGAACGUGGACGGACUGAAGCGUCCACAGCCCACAGACGGAGGCUGACGGAGAAGUGCUCUCUGCUCAUAGAGAAGGUCACAGUUCAGGAUGUGGGUCGUUACACGUGCACACGAGGAGCAGGAGCCUCUGAGGUUUAUCUGUCUGUUGUUCACAUGGAUGAGUAUGAAGCUGCUGAUGAGGUCUACGUCUACUGUUACGUGUCCACACACAAACACUGUGAGCCGUCAGUGAAGUGGCUUCAUCACAGUCAAGUGUUUACGAGUCACAGAGACGUGAAGGCGUCACACACUCUCUACUACGCUGUCGUGUCUCUUCUGGAUUCUCACCGUGUUCACGCAUCAGUCAUGAACUCGUUAACGUGUGAAGUCACUGAUUGUUUCACUAACGUUCAUCGGUUUCCAUUCAGACCUCCGGCCUCAGAUGAAAAUGUAACAUUCAAAGAGACAACAAUUGAAGACACAUCAAUUCAAAACACAACAUCAGCAUCAGACACAACAUUAGAAGAUAACGGUGAAUUUUUCUAUUUUUAACCUUUCGUU